UACGUAGGGUGCAAGCGUUAAUCGGAAUUACUGGGCGUAAAGCGUGCGCAGGCGGUGAUGUAAGACAGUUGUGAAAUCCCCGGGCUCAACCUGGGAACUGCAUCUGUGACUGCAUUGCUGGAGUGCGGCAGAGGGGGAUGGAAUUCCGCGUGUAGCAGUGAAAUGCGUAGAUAUGCGGAGGAACACCGAUGGCGAAGGCAAUCCCCUGGACCUGUACUGACGCUCAUGCACGAA
rnacentral:rRNA from 1 species